UGAAAUAUGAAAUAUCCAAAAUGUGCUUUUUUUCUUUCAUGAAAUAUAUUUUUGACUGUCAUUUCUUUCACCGUUGAUCCAGCAACUGAUGCUGAGUCGCCGAGCAAUAGGCGCAGAUCCCUGCACCACUAGAUAUUGGCUGUAUCUGGAUAUCUCGUCUCAGAGAACAUCCGCACGUUGGGCACUUGGUUCCCCAGCCCUUGUUGCCAUAGCCGAGAGCAGCUACCGGAGAUCCAAGCCCCAAUCGAUUCCCCAGUUACAACACCGCAGGGCCACCGGAGAACAGCCCUUGUCACGGGGACCGGUGACGGUCCACUCUAUUCGACGCAAUUCAAACACUAUAGCGAACUGCCGGUCAGGAGUGAUCCAGCAGCCUCCUCAUUAUUAUAGUACAUACUCUUCGCUUUGCACCGUGACAGAGGGAGAAAAAGGCGUGAAAGCUGUCGUUGGGAUCCCACCUGCGUGUACUCUCAAGUCAGGAACACACGUGACACCGUUUAUUCGGCAGUACAACAGCGAGGAUUAUUGGGUAAAACCUUAAAAAAACCCAAUAUUAAGCUUUUAUCGGAUAAUGCUCCCCUAAAUGAUUUUUACUUGGGUUACCACAAUUUUAUCGAUUUGAUGAAAAUGUCCUUCGCCUCCACCAGAAGCCUCUGAUUGCCAUCGCCGUCUCAGCCGACCGCCGUCGUCUCCGUCGACCCCUUCUCUCAUCACGAGCAGCGUCGCCCUCUCAUUCCUUCCCCUGCCCCUCCCUUCCCCUUUCUCUUCUUCACCCGCCGCCCGCGCUGCCUCCACUGUUGGGGCCCUCGUCGCCCGCCUCCCUCAGCAAGGCUGCGGCCACCGCGGCAACAUCUCCACCUUCCCUGCGAUCGAAGAUGGGGAGAUCGCUGCCUGCGCCGCCAUCCACCGCUCCCUCUUCCUCAGGAUCGAAAACCGGAGCCCUCUGGCCCCGCUCAUCGGACCCCGUCGAAAGGCAAGCGACGAGGGCACUAGGCAGGCUGUGAGGG
rnacentral:lncRNA from 1 species